rnacentral:rRNA from 1 species
AUUGAACGCUGGCGGCAGGCCUAACACAUGCAAGUCGAACGGAGUGGCGGACGGGUGAGUAACACGUGGGUGACCUGCCCUGCACUUCGGGAUAAGCCUGGGAAACUGGGUCUAAUACCGGAUAGUGUGGGAUGGGCCCGCGGCCUAUCAGCUUGUUGGUGGGGUAAUGGCCUACCAAGGAGGCGACGGGUAGCCGGCCUGGGAGGGUGGACGGCCACAGUGGGACUGAGACGCGGCCCAGACGCCUACGGGAGGCAGCAGUGGGGAAUAUUGCACAAUGGGCGGAAGCCUGAUGCAGCGACGCCGCGUGGGGGAGGACGGCCUUCGGGUUGUAAACUCCUUUCACCAUCGACGCGGUAGAUGGAGAAGAAGCACCGGCUAACUACGUGCCAGCAGCCGCGGUAAUUC